CCUACGGGUGGCAGCAGUGAGGAAUAUUGGUCAAUGGGCGCGAGCCUGAACCAGCCAAGUAGCGUGAAGGAUGACUGCCCUACGGGUUGUAAACUUCUUUUAUAAGGGAAUAAAGUGAGGCACGUGUGCCUUUUUGUAUGUACUUUAUGAAUAAGGAUCGGCUAACUCCGUGCCAGCAGCCGCGGUAAUACGGAGGAGCUGAGCGUUAUCCGGAUUUAUUGGGUUUAAAGGGAGCGUAGAUGGGUUGUUAAGUCAGUUGUGAAAGUUUGCGGCUCAACCGUAAAAUUGCAAUUGAUACUGGCAGACUUGAGUGCAGUUGAGGUAGGCGGAAUUCGUAGUGUAGCGGUGAAAUGCUUAGAUAUUACGAAGAACUCCGGUUGCGAAGGCAGCUUACUAAACUGCAACUGACGUUGAUGCUCGAAAGUGUGGGUAUCAAACAGGAUUAGAUACCCGUGUAGUC
rnacentral:rRNA from 1 species